CUGUGAACGUUUUUGUUUUUCUCAUUUCCUGUUCAACAAAUAUGUUUUACCAGAAUCGGCCAAUGAGUCCCAUCUGGUUCAGGAGUCCUCUUCCUGGAAGCUUCCCUCACUGUUCCGCCACAUUGCUAGCAUUCAGCUGACUGGGCAUUUAUUGGCUUUGUCGCAGGGUUUCACAUAUGUGGCUCCGUCCGUGCUGGAAAACGUCAAGGACAAAUUCUCGUCGGAGCCAAAGGUCCCGGGAAGCCCGAGGACUCCUGUGAGCCCGGUGAUGUUCGCACGGGGCGACUGUUGGCCGCAGGGAGCCUCUGCGGAACAACCCAAGGAGACGGUCGGCAAUGGAGCAAACGGACUCGAGCAACAGCAGCAGCGCCGUGUCGGAAGCCUCGGCACCGAUUCCCAUCAGAUGGCCGUCGAGCGGCGGCGAGCAGCUCUACAAAAAAAAAGCCGAUCCUCUGAACGCCAAACGACCGGAACACCUGCGGAUGAACCGAUUACGCUCGGCGCAGCCCCUUCCCCGCUCUCAGAAAUAAUGUGCUGUCACUGUUGAUGUCAUCAACAGCGCUUCCAUCUCUUGGCCUUGCUCCAGAAUCUUGCUUUUGGUGCGAGUCACCAAUGUCCUUAUUUACCGUCGGUUUGGUUUCAUGGUGCAUUGGGGAGUGAGUUUUGAGCUCCCUUUCACAAACACGAUUUUUUUACUUUCGCUGGAGGUUUUUAAAAGGGCCUCAUACUGUGUGUGUUUGUAUGUUAAGGAUUUUUGUUUUUUGGGUGAAACUUUGUUCUACGUUUCAGUUUUUUGGUGAGUAAGAGGUUCUUGUUAGUGUCAGGGUUUUUUUCGUUCACUGAGCAGUUUUUGGGUGAGUGUGAGAGGUGUUUUGGGGUUCGUGUGAGUUUUUGGAGCGAGUAUGAAUGUUUUUGGUGAGUAUGAGUGGUAAAUGUUAUUUUUGGUCGACACGGCACUUGAUGUUAAAGCCUUUGCAUUUCUACAUUGACUGUUACCAAGAUCAUGAAUACUCGGUUGAGUGUGAACCAUGAUGCUGCGGGGGAAAAAGCCUCUGGAUUGAAGCCAUUGGAUGCCUUUUUUUUUUAUUAUUUUGACUCUUUUAUGAUUGUUUUUUUUUUUUGAAUGGCUUAAAUAAUUGCCAACCAAAUGCUUUGAACUUUUCUCUCGCAUUCAAAAGAUGGAUCAGUGUUCAAUUGAUUUUCUUCCAUCCGCGGUAAAGCUAUAACAGUGAAUUUUUUUUCCGUCUUCAUUUAAGGGCCAUUGGCUCACUAUGCAAACUGCGUAACUAUUUAUUGUUUCGUCUUAUUUCAACAGCGUGACAGCAUUUUGGAAGAAAAGGUUAUUUGAUAUUCUUUCUCAUUGUGUUUUUUUCCUCACACAAACACUGUUAAAAUGGCAACCACAAAAGCAGCUUUCAAUUAAACACAUUUUCCAGCAUGUAACGAUUUUUGUGCAGCAAUGUCUUUUUUU